GCACCAGACUCCUACGGGAGGCAGCAGUGAGGAAUAUUGGUCAAUGGUCGGGAGACUGAACCAGCCAAGCCGCGUGAGGGAUGAAGGUACAGAGUAUCGUAAACCUCUUUUGUCAGGGAACAAAGGCGGGGACGUGUCCCCGGAUGAGUGUACCUGAAGAAAAAGCAUCGGCUAACUCCGUGCCAGCAGCCGCGGUAAUACGGAGGAUGCGAGCGUUAUCCGGAUUUAUUGGGUUUAAAGGGUGCGUAGGCGGGCUGUUAAGUCAGCGGUCAAAUGUCGGGGCUCAACCCCGUCCGGCCGUUGAAACUGGGGGCCUUGAGUGGGCGAGAAGAAGGCGGAAUGCGUGGUGUAGCGGCGAAAUGCAUAGAUAUCACGCAGAACUCCGAUUGCGAAGGCAGCAUGCCGGCUCCACACUGACGCUGAGGCACGAAAGCGUGGGUAUCGAACAGGAUUAGAUACCCCGGUAA
rnacentral:rRNA from 1 species